UUUUGUUCAUCCUUUUCUCAUCUUCAUGCUUGCCAAAAACUAGAAAGAAAAACAAAGAAAAAUUUUCUCAUCCUUUGGUUCAUCCUUGGCCAAAAAUUUUAAGGAGGAAAGAAGAAGAAAGGUGAAGAGAUUCGGCCAUGCAUGUAGCUAGGCUAAGCUCAAGAGCAAAGGGGAAAUAAAACCGAUAAAGGGAAGGAAAAAGUGGUUGAAUAGCUAGCGGAAUCGUUCGACAACACCCGAGAUUUUUGGUUCUCCAGCUAUCGGACUCGGGAUCUUGAAGUCGAAGUCGCCCACACUAUCAAAGGCUCUUUUGGGUACUAUUUUGGUUGAAUUUUGUUAUGGCAUGUAUAGGACUACCCAUUGUUGUCUUUCGAGUACUUUAUGAAAUGUAUAAGUGUACAGCCAUGCGAAAAUGGCUUGUAGAAGUGGAGUAUGGCAUUAGACCAUUCGUAUUUGUGAAUGUAUAGAUGGUUUCAUGAUGUAACUAUGUUGGAAUGGAAGUGUUGAGCAAAUGAUCAGCCACUAGAAUGGCUAAGUAUGAUCAUAUGUGGGCUUAUGUAUGACAAGGCCCUAGUUGGUCCAUGAAACCCCAAAUUAGGUAAGGUUCACUUUGAAAACAGAAGCUGAUAGCAGCAGUGGUGUGGAUUGGAAAAAUCACAAGAAUUCGUAGGAGUGGUAUUAAAUAGUGAAUAAAUUAUGUAAUCAAACCUUGAUGAAUCUACUUUCAUAUGGAAGUAACGAAACAAUUAUAGGAACAGUACAGAAAGAGAUAUUCGGGUUCUUGUGGAACAGGGCCAGAACAGUUUCUGGAUUCACUGUUCCGCCUUUGGAAAUUCACUAUAAAUUGACCAGAGAUAAUUAGGGGUCAUACCAUAUAUGUAUGGAUUCCUCUCUGAGUCUAGUUUCCAUAGAAACAAACGGCAUCAGUAUUGAAGCUCUGUGCAGAGAGAUAUCCCAGUCGUAAUGGGAAAAGGUCAGUGUAGUCGACCCCUGUAACACGGGAUACUUUGACUAAUAAACUGUACUAAUUGGCCCGACCAAAAAUUCUAGAAAAAAAUCCAUAGGUGGGGACAUGAGUCUAGUUUCAGGGAAAAAUCACAAAACUAAUUUUUGAGUUGUGAAACUCAAGUUAUGAUUUUUGAAGCGACUAGUACUCAGACUGGGCAGUGUCUGGAAAAUUUUUUUUCAAAGUUUGUUAACAUCUCGUGUCCGACUCCGGUGUCGGUCUCGGGUUCGGGGUGUUACAUUUUAUUGGUAUCAGAGCUACGGUUUAGUCGAUUCUAGGACUACCGUAAUGUUUUGGGUCUAGCUAUACAUGCCAUUUUAUGUGAUUACUUGAUAGUGUGGUGAUUUCCGACAAUUGUAAAUGUGUUUAUUUAUAGUAAUGGAUCCCGAUCGUGACCGAGAGGUAGCUGAUGAUCUUGAGAGUGUAGCGCCUGCUCCCGCACAAGGGACAGUGCCGGCAAACUCUCAACCUAAUGCUAGUAAUCAGAAUGAUGAAGCUAGACAAGCAUUCUAUAGCGUGAUGAAUGAUUGGUUUAACCAAUACAUUCGAACUAAUAUGGCUGUUCCACAACCUCCAUUCCCGAAAAAAUACUACCCCCGCACCUACAAUACCGCCGGUAACGGACCAAAUAAGGUCACAUAAGCCCCAGUUGACAGAAUCCGAAAACAUGGGGCUACUGAAUUUAAGGCUAUGGAUAGCGAUGAUGCCGAGCAAGCUGAAUUUUGGCUGGACAACACUAUCCGGGUACUCGAUGAGCUAUCUUGUACACCCGAUGAAUGCCUAAAGUGUGCUAUCUCCUUGCUACGUGAUUCUGCCUACUAUUGGUGGAGUACUCUGACUUCUAUUGUGCCCCGAGAGCAAGUAACUUGGGAGUUUUUCCAAACUGAGUUUCGGAAAAAGUAUAUCAGUCAGAGAUUUGUUGAUCAAAAACGGAAGGAAUUUCUUGAGCUUAAGCAAGGCUCCAUGUCGGUUACUGAUUACGAGCGAAAAUUUGUUAGACUUAGCAAAUACGCUCGGGAAUGUGUUUCGUCCGAAGCUGUUAUGUGUAAACGCUUCGAGGAUGGGCUGAAUGAAGAUAUAAAAAUGUUCGUUGGCGUUCUUGAAAUACAAGAGUUCGUGGUACUUGUUGAACGAGCUUGUAAAGCCGAAGAGCUUAGAAAAGAAAAGCAAAGAGUUGAUGAGUGAACUGGAGAGUUUCGUAAAACAUCCUCGGGGAGGUCUCUUCAACAGACAUCGAAGAGAUUUCGAGAUGAUGCGGGCCAGUUUAGAGGCACUUCGGGCCUUUUUGGACGAGAUCGUGAUCGACCCCCUGUGGGUACACGAGGCACUUCGGUCGCCAGUGUUGGGAAUGAACGUCGAGACAGGACGAAAUGCCGAUAUUGCGGUAAAUGGCAUUCGGGGAGUUGUAGAUUUCCUGACCGCUCCUGUUACAAAUGCGGAUCAGUGGACCACUUCAUUAAAGAUUGCCCGAGGUUGUCGGGACAGAAUGCAAAUCAGAGUGGGAGACCGGGUGCUACCACUGCUCGAGGUAGACCAUCUGGAAAUAUGGGCAAUGCUGGUGGUGGUCAGAGAGGAUCUAGAGAUGAUAUAACCAGAUCCGAAGCCCGUGCGCCUGCUAGAGCUUAUGCUAUACGUGCCCGCGAGGAUGCUUCUUCGCCUGAUGUUAUUACCGGUACAUUCACCCUCUUUGAUACUAAUGUAAUUGCUUUGAUUGACCCCGGUUCUACUCAUUCUUACAUAUGUGAAACCUUAGCAUCCAGUAAGACUUUACCUAUUGAGUCUACUGAGUUCGUAAUUCGGGUGUCAAAUCCCUUGGGUCGUUACGUGCUUGUCGACAAAGUGUGUAAGAAAUGUCCCCUGGAAAUUCGAGGUUCCUGUUUUCCAGCGGACUUGAUGCUUUUGCCGUUUGAUGAAUUUGAUGUUAUCCUUGGGUUGGAUUGGUUGACCGCGCAUGAUGCGAUUGUGAAUUGCAAGAGCAAGACUAUUGAUUUGAGGUGCGCAAAUAACGAAGUAGUCCGAAUUGAGUCUGCGGACUUGGAGGGGAUGCCAGCUGUAAUAUCAGCAAUGUUGGCACAGAAAUAUGUAAAAAAAAAGGGGUGCGAAGCAUACCUUGCAUAUGUGCUUGAUGACAAAGAAUUAGAAAAGAAACCCGAAUCUGUGCCGGUGGUUUGUGAAUACCCGGAUGUUUUUCCGGAAGAAUUACCGGGUUUACCACCUGUUCGGAAGGUAGAGUUUGGUAUUGAGCUUGUACCUGGGACUACGCCGAUUUCGAUAGCUCCGUAUCGUAUGGCACCAACUGAGUUAAAGGAGUUGAAAGCUCAGUUGCAAGAACUGACGGAUAGAGGUUUCGCUCGACCAAGUUUCUCACCUUGGGGUGCACCAGUAUUGUUCGUGAAAAAGAAGGACGGAACCAUGAGGUUGUGCAUUGACUAUCGUCAGCUGAAUAAAGUGACGAUAAAGAACAAAUAUCCGUUGCCGUGCAUCGAUGAUUUGUUCGACCAACUGAAGGGAGCCUAAGUGUUCUCAAAAAUAGAUUUGAGAUCGGGCUAUUAUCAGUUGCGAAUUCGAGAUCCAGAUAUUCCCAAAACUGCCUUCAGAACGAGAUAUGGUCACUACGAAUUCUUAGUGAUGCCGUUUGGGCUCACUAAUGCCCCUGCGGUAUUUAUGGAUUUGAUGAAUCGGAUCUUCAGACCGUAUUUGGAUCAGUUCGUAGUUGUGUUCAUUGAUGACAUUUUGGUCUAUUCAAGAGAUGAGACCGAACAUGCUGGGCAUCUGAGGCUAGUGCUGCAAAUUUUGCGGGAUAAGCAGUUAUAUGCUAAGUUCAAUAAGUGCGAGUUCUGGUUAAGAGAGGUUAGCUUCUUGGGUCAUGUGGUAUCCGCGUCGGGUAUUCGAGUUGACCCGAACAAAAUUUCAGCCAUACUUGACUGGAAACCUCCGAGAAAUAUUACUGAAGUUCGGAGCUUUUUGGGGCUCGCCGGUUAUUACCGACGAUUUGUGAAAGGUUUCUCGAUGAUAGCCACACCAAUGACGAAGCUACUUCAAAAGGAUGUUAAGUUCGAGUGGACGGAGAAAUGUCAGAAAAGUUUCAACCAACUGAAAACUCAUUUGACUGAAGCUCCAAUUUUGGUGCAACCCGAAUCAGGUAAAGAGUUUGUCAUUUAUAGUGACGCAUCCCUACUUGGGUUGGGUCGCGUAUUGAUGCAAGAAGGUCGAGUCGUCGCCUAUGCGUCGAGACAAUUGAAGCCACACGAGAGGAAUUAUCCGACCCAUGAUCUCGAUCUAGCUGCCAUCGUGUUUGCUUUAAAAAUAUGGCGACAUUAUCUGUUUGGUGAGAAGUGCCAUGUAUUUUCGGAUCACAAAAGUCUCAAAUAUUUGAUGACUCAACGAGACUUGAAUCUGCGACAAAGACGUUGGCUUGAGUUGUUGAAAGAUUACGAGCUUGUCAUUGAUUACCACCCGGGAAAGGCUAACGUGGUUGCGGACGCCUUAAGCCGGAAGUCAUUGUUUGCUUUACGAGCGAUGAAUGUGCAUUUGUCUGUUCUACCAGACAGUGUGUUAGUAGCUGAAUUAAAAUCUAAACCAUUAUUGACUCACCAAAUUCGUGAAGCUCAGAAAGUCGAUGAUGAAUUGGUUGCAAAACGGGCUAAGUGUUUUCCGAACGAGGAAUCGGAGUUUCAAAUUGAUGAUGAUGAUUGUUUGAGGAUCAGAAAUCGUUUGUGUGUUCCAAGGAAUUCGGAACUCAUUUCGAUGAUUCUGAACGAAGCCCAUUGUUGCCGAAUGUCAAUUCACCCGGGAAGUACGAAAAUGUACAACGAUUUGAAACGUCAAUUUUGGUGGCAUGGUAUGAAACGGGACAUCUUCGACUUUGUUUCGAGAUGUUUAAUAUGUCAACAAGUGAAAGCGGAACAUCAAGUGCUUUCAGGAUUACUCCAGCCGAUCAUGAUACCCGAGUGGAAAUGGGAUCGAGUCACAAUGGACUUUGUGUCCGGACUGCCCUUGUCAGCAAGUAAGAAGGAUGCGAUAUGGGUUAUUGUUGAUAGACUGACUAAGUCGGCUCAUUUCAUCCCCGUACGUACGGAUUUUUCAUUGGAUAAACUAGCUGAAUUGUACGUUUAUCAAAUUGUGAGAUUAUACGGGGUACCUGUUUCUAUCGUGUCGGAUAGAGAUCCGAGAUUCACCUCACGAUUUUGGAAGAAAUUGCAAGAAGCUCUGGGUACUAAGCUGCAUUUUAGCACUGCUUUUCACCCCCAAACCGAUGGUCAAUCCGAGCGGAUAAUUCAGAUACUUGAGGAUAUGUUGAGAUGUUGCAUCCUCGAGUUCAGUAGUUCAUGGGAACGGUAUUUACCUUUGAUUGAAUUCGCUUACAACAAUAGUUUUCAAUCAAGUAUUAAGAUGGCACCUUAUGAGGCUUUGUACGGUCGUAAAUGCCGUACACCAUUGUUUUGGACCGAGCUCGGUGAAAGCAAAAUUUUCGGAGUUGAUUUGAUUAGAGAUGCCGAACAGAAAGUAAAGGUAAUCCGUGAAAGUCUGAAGGUAUCCACGGAUCGUCAGAAAUCGUACGCAGAUUUGAAACGAAAAGACAUCGAGUAUCAGGUGGGAGACAAAGUGUUCCUUAAGGUUUCACCUUGGAAAAAGAUACUCAGGUUCGGCCGUAAGGGCAAGUUGAGCCCAAGAUUCAUUGGGCCGUACGAAAUCUCCGAACGAGUUGGUCCGGUUGCGUAUAGAUUGAUUUUGCCCCCGGAGCUUGAAAAGAUUCAUGACGUCUUUCAUGUUUCGAUGCUUCGACGCUAUCGAUCUGAUCCAUCGCACAUAAUUAGCCCAUCGGAGGUUGAAAUUCAAGUCGACAUGAGCUAUGAAGAAGAACCGAUGCGUAUCCUAGCUCGUGAAGUGAAGGAGUUGAGAAACAAAAGAGUUCCGCUAGUAAAGGUGUUAUGGCUCAAACUCGGGAUCGAGGAAGCUACUUGGGAGACCGAGAGCUCGAUGAAAGAACGAUACCCAAACCUAUUUACUGGUAAGAUUUUCGGGGACGAAAAUUUCUUAAGUGGGGGAGAGUUGUGACAGCCCAAAGUUGACCCUAGUCGGGAAGUGGUUUCGGGACCGCUAAACCGAGUCACCGAAAUGUUUGAAUGUGAUACUUAUUGUGUAGAAUAUGUAAUUAUGAAUGUGUGAAAAUUUCAAGCUUUAAUUGGGUUGAUUUCAUGUGAAUUUAGUCAAUAGGACUUAUGUGAGAAAAUUCUAAAAUGUGAUAGGUCAAUGUGUGAGGACCUACUAGUGCAUGUGGACAAAGGGGGGACUUGCAUGUCAAAUUUCCCCCCCCUAAUGAGUAGUGGCCGGCCAUGACAAGGAAGGAUGGGCAAAACAUGUCAUGAAACAUGUUUUGUUAGUGGAAGAAUAAAAUAAGGAGUAUGGGUAAUAAAGAAAUGGAAAACAAAAGAAAAAAAAAAGGUGUGUGUGGUGUUUGUCCCCCCAUUGCCGUGAGCUAAACAAGAGAAAGGGGGAAUUUUGUUCAUCCUUUUCUCAUCUUCAUGCUUGCCAAAAACUAGAAAGAAAAACAAAGAAAAAUUUUCUCAUCCUUUGGUUCAUCCUUGGCCAAAAAUUUUAAGGAGGAAAGAAGAAGAAAGGUGAAGAGAUUCGGCCAUGCAUGUAGCUAGGCUAAGCUCAAGAGCAAAGGGGAAAUAAAACCGAUAAAGGGAAGGAAAAAGUGGUUGAAUAGCUAGCGGAAUCGUUCGACAACACCCGAGAUUUUUGGUUCUCCAGCUAUCGGACUCGGGAUCUUGAAGUCGAAGUCGCCCACACUAUCAAAGGCUCUUUUGGGUACUAUUUUGGUUGAAUUUUGUUAUGGCAUGUAUAGGACUACCCAUUGUUGUCUUUCGAGUACUUUAUGAAAUGUAUAAGUGUACAGCCAUGCGAAAAUGGCUUGUAGAAGUGGAGUAUGGCAUUAGACCAUUCGUAUUUGUGAAUGUAUAGAUGGUUUCAUGAUGUAACUAUGUUGGAAUGGAAGUGUUGAGCAAAUGAUCAGCCACUAGAAUGGCUAAGUAUGAUCAUAUGUGGGCUUAUGUAUGACAAGGCCCUAGUUGGUCCAUGAAACCCCAAAUUAGGUAAGGUUCACUUUGAAAACAGAAGCUGAU
rnacentral:lncRNA from 1 species